UCAUUUUCUGUGAACUUUUUUAUAAUACUUUGCUUUGGUGUGAUUUUGUUAUUACACCAAAAAUCAAACACAAUUUUAAACAAUUUGUCAUAAAAAAACAAGAAAUCUUAAUGAAUUUAAAACUUUCAACAACGGAUCUCUUGGUUCUCGCAUCGAUGAAGAACGCAGCGAAAUGCGAUACGUAAUGUGAAUUGCAGAAUUUUGUGAAUCAUCGAAUCUUUGAACGCACAUUGCGCCUUUUGGUAUUCCAAAAGGCAUGCUUGUUUGAGCGUCAUUUCUCUCUCACUUAACAGUGGUUUUGUUAUAUCUCUCUCUUUUUAUUUAGAGAGUAUAAUGAAAAGAAAUGGCAGCGCUCCGAAGUUUGCUUAUGUGUUUUAGGGUUAUUUCCAAACUACACUAAACGGCGCUUCAGUUGAGUCGGCUUGAUAACUAUUUUUUUCAAUGUUGACCUCAAAUCAAGUAAGACUACCCGCUGAACUUAAGCAUAU
rnacentral:misc_RNA from 1 species